CUGGGUCUGGGUCUAGUCUUAGUCCGAGAGAAUCACCGGGACUCGGAGGGAGAUGAGCCCGGACAUGGCGCGCCCUCCUCGGCCGCGGGCAGCCCUCCGGCCUCGGUGACCACGUGGAACUUCGUGCGGGAGACGGGAGUCCCCUCCGGAGGUGGAAACUGCUCCUCAGCCUCUGAUUGGACAGAACCCACCUUCUUCUGCAGCCAAUCACAGCUCUUCGUUCGCUUCCACAGAUCCAGGUUUUCUGAAAUCCAAUUGGACGAUGGAGUGCCUCAGGUCUGUCGUUCUUCACUUCAUGCAGACGGUUCCUGGUGGUUGUUCAAAGUGGCGUUCUCCUGCCGCACUGCAUC